CUAUAUUAACACCGGAAAUCAAAAUGAAAUAUUUACAAUUCCUUGCUUUAUUCGUUGUUAUAUUCGUUAUCACAACGUCUGCUAUGCCUGCAGAACCAUCCGAUAUUCCUUCUUCGUUAAAGCAGGGUACAAGAAUCACUAGAGCUGUAUCAACAUCAUUCCAAUGUUCUGCUUGUAGCUUUUUCUGUCAAGGCAAAGGAAAAAGGGGUGGUUAUUGUAUAAAGAACGUCUGCACCUGCUUUUAACAAAUUAUGUACUAACUUAAUAUUAAUAAUAAUAUUUAUUAUUUAUUCUGCUAUUGGUAUCUAACAUUGAUCACCUUCAGCCUUCAUAUUGUAUGUACUUACUAUAAUUGGGAAAAUAAACAUGUUCAUUUUACAUUCACAAUUAA